ACAUGAAGCUGGAAUCGCUAGUAAUCGCGGAUCAGAAUGCCGCGGUGAAUACGUUCCCGGGUCUUGUACACACCGCCCGUCACACCAUGGGAGUCAGUAACGCCCGAAGUCAGUGACCCAACCGGAAGGAGGGAGCUGCCGAAGGCAGGCUCGAUAACUGGGGUGAAGUCGUAACAAGGUAAC
rnacentral:rRNA from 1 species